rnacentral:rRNA from 1 species
CACGUAGGCACCAAGCGUUGUCCGGAUUUAUUGGGCGUAAAGAGCUCGUAGGCGGUUCAGUAAGUCAGGUGUGAAAUCUUUGGGCUUAACCCAAAGCGUGCACUUGAUACUGCUGUGACUUGAGUUCGGUAGGGGAGUGGGGAAUUCCUAGUGUAGCGGUGAAAUGCGCAGAUAUCAGGAGGAACACCGGUGGCGAAGGCGGAUCUCUGGGCCAUUACUGACGCUGAGGAGCGAAAGCGUGGGGAGCGAACAGG